GAUAAACGCUGGCGGCGCACAUAAGACAUGCAAGUUGAACGGACUUAAUCGAAAUAUUUAUAUUUUGAAGCGGUUAGUGGCGGACUGGUGAGUAACGCGUAAGGAACCUGCCUAUUAGAGGGGAAUAACAGUGAGAAAUCAUUGCUAAUACCGCAUAUGCCAUAGAUAUCACAUGAUAACAGUGGGAAAGGAGCAAUCCGCUAAUAGAUGGCCUUGCGUCUGAUUAGAUAGUUGGUGGGGUAACGGCCUACCAAGUCGACGAUCAGUAGCCGGACUGAGAGGUUGAACGGCCACAUUGGGACUGAGAUACGGCCCAGACUCCUACGGGAGGCAGCAGUCGGGAAUAUUGCGCAAUGGAGGAAACUCUGAUGCAGUGACGCCGCGUAUAGGAAGAAGGUUUUCGGAUUGUAAACUAUUGUCGUUAGGGAAGAGAAAGGACAGUACCUAAGGAGGAAGCUCCGGCUAACUACGUG
rnacentral:rRNA from 1 species